AUUUCCCUCUUUCUUUAGGCCUAACACAUGCAAGUCGAACGGCAGCACAGUAAGAGCUUGCUCUUACGGGUGGCGAGUGGCGGACGGGUGAGGAAUACAUCGGAAUCUACUUUUUCGUGGGGGAUAACGUAGGGAAACUUACGCUAAUACCGCAUACGACCUACGGGUGAAAGCAGGGGAUCUUCGGACCUUGCGCGAUUGAAUGAGCCGAUGUCGGAUUAGCUAGUUGGCGGGGUAAAGGCCCACCAAGGCGACGAUCCGUAGCUGGUCUGAGAGGAUGAUCAGCCACACUGGAACUGAGACACGGUCCAGACUCCUACGGGAGGCAGCAGUGGGGAAUAUUGGACAAUGGGCGCAAGCCUGAUCCAGCCAUACCGCGUGGGUGAAGAAGGCCUUCGGGUUGUAAAGCCCUUUUGUUGGGAAAGAAAAGCAGCAGGUUAAUACCCCGCUGCUCUGACGGUACCCAAAGAAUAAGCACCGGCUAACUUCGUG
rnacentral:rRNA from 1 species